rnacentral:tmRNA from 1 species
GGGGCCGAUCGGUUUCGACGAUCUGAGUUGAUCGUGGGGAAGCGUGUCGUGGACGUCAAGUGACCACGUAAAUACCCCUUGGCAACCCAAUAAGUGCCGAAUCUAAGCGCACUGACUUCGCCCUCGCUGCCUGAUCAGCGACGCGAGUCUGUCAGCCUGAGUUUGCUAUCGACUCAGUGUCUGGCAUCAGCUAGAUAGCCACUGGUCAGCUGCCUUCGUCGCAGGGGCAGCUGACGAGAUUCUUUGCGACUGGGCCUGUCAGGUGCUUGUCUGCGUGACACCUGGGGCCGAGCAACACUGUGAGCAGACUGCACACGGAGAAGUCCACGUGAAUCCAGAUCGGACGCGGGUUCAAUUCCCGCCGGCUCCACUU